rnacentral:rRNA from 1 species
ACUGCUCAGUAACACGUAGUUAACCUAACCUAUGGAUGGGGAUAACCUCGGGAAACUGAGAAUAAUCCCCGAUAGAUCACAAUGCCUGGAAUGGUUUGUGAUUCAAAUGAUUUAUCGCCGUAGGAUGGGACUGCGGCCUAUCAGCUAGUUGGUGAGGUAAUGGCCCACCAAGGCUAUAACAGGUACGGGCUCUGAGAGGAGGGGCCCGGAGAUGGGUACUGAGACACGGACCCAGGCCCUAUGGGGCGCAGCAGGCGAGAAACCUUUGCAAUGUGCGAAAGCACGACAAGGUUAAUCCGAGUGUCUUCUGCUAAAGAAGUCUUUUGUUAGUCAUAGAACCACUGAUGAAUAAGGGGUGGGCAAGUUCUGGUGUCAGCCGCCGCGGUAAAACCAGCACCUCGAGUGGUCAGGAGGUUUAUUGGGCCUAAAGCAUCCGUAGCCGGUUGUUUAAGUUUUCGGUUAAAUCUAUGCGCUUAACGUAUAGGCUGCCGAAAAUACUGGACAGCUAGGGAGUGGGAGAGGUACACGGUACUCAAUAGGAAGGGGCAAAAUCCUUUGAUCUGUUGAUGACCACCUGUGGCGAAGGCGGUGUACCAGAACACGUUCGACGGUGAGGGAUGAAAGCUGGGGGAGCAAACCGGAUUAGAUACCCGGGUAGUCCCAGCUGUAAACGAUGCAAACUCGGUGAUGCAUUGGCUUGUGGCCAAUGCAGUGCCGCAGGGAAGCCGUUAAGUUUGCCGCCUGGGAAGUACGUACGCAAGUAUGAAACUUAAAGGAAUUGGCGGGGGAGCAC